CAUGUCCUUUUGAAAUUUAUUUGAGGUCUAAUCUGCUCAAUGAUUAAUUAAAUUGCCGCGGUAUUUUGACCGUGCAAAGGUAGCAUAAUAAUUAGUUUUUUUAUUGAAAACUGGAAUGAAUGAUUGGACGAGAAAAUUACUGUCUCUAUUUAAAUGUGGUUUGAAUUUAACUUUUAAGUAAAAAGGCUUAAAUUUUUUUGGAAGACGAGAAGACCCUAUAGAGUUUAACUUUUUCUUUAUUAAUCUUUUGUUGGAAUUUUUUGGGUUAAUUAUUAUAUUAGUUUGGUUGGGGUGACUAGAAAAUUUAUUAAACUUUUCUAAUUUUUAGUUAUUGAUUUAUAAAUUUUAAUUCUUAAUUUUUUAAUGAUAAAAUAAAUUACCUUAGGGAUAACAGCGUUAUUUCUUCUUAGAGUUCUUAUCAUAGGAGAAGUUUGCGACCUCGAUGUUGGAUUAAAGUUAAUGUUGGGCGUAGUAGCUUAAUUAUUAGGUCUGUUCGACUUUUAAAAUUUUACAUGAUCUGAGU
rnacentral:rRNA from 1 species